GAGUUUGAUCCUGGCUCAGAGUGAACGCUGGCGGUAUGCUUAACACAUGCAAAUCGAACGAGAACGGUAUAUUCUUCGGAAUAUAUGUCAGCUAAGUGGCGCACGGGUGAGUAACACGUAGCUACCUGCCUCAUAGACCGGGAUAACAGUUGGAAACGACUGCUAAUACUGGAUAUACCCUAAGGGGGAAAGAUUCUAUCGCUAUGAGAUGGGGCUGCGGUGUAUCAGUUAGUUGGUGAGGUAAAAGCUCACCAAGACUAUGACGCAUAACUGGUCUGAGAGGAUGGUCAGUCACACGGGAACUGAGACACGGUCCAGACUCCUACGGGAGGCAGCAGUGGGGAAUAUUGCACAAUGGAGGAAACUCUGAUGCAGCAAUACCGCGUGGAGGAAGAAGCAUUUCGGUGUGUAAACUCCUUUUAUAUUCGAAGAUAAUGACGGUAGAAUAUGAAUAAGCACCGGCUAACUCCGUGCCAGCAGCCGCGGUAAUACGGAGGGUGCAAGCGUUACUCGGAAUCACUGGGCGUAAAGAGCGCGUAGGCGGGUUGUUAAGUUGGAAGUGAAAGCCCACAGCUCAACUGUGGAACUGCUUCCAAAACUGGCAACCUAGAAUUUGGGAGAGGUAAGUGGAAUUCCUGGUGUAGGGGUGAAAUCCGUAGAGAUCAGGAGGAAUACCGAAAACGAAGGCGACUUACU
rnacentral:rRNA from 1 species